AGGUUUUAGUCCGUAGGUCACUGAGACACUUUCUGAGUGGAGUCGGGCAUGCCCAUUGACCCGGGCCCUUGGGUAUCCAUGAGGAUUUCCU
rfam:Bombyx mori DNA, contig: Bm_scaf12_contig9516, strain: p50T/Dazao, build 2, whole genome shotgun sequence.